rnacentral:lncRNA from 1 species
UUGUGGGAAAAUGAUUUUACUUUUAGCAUCAAAGAAAACCAAUACAAAAUUGAAUCAAUUUACAACUUUCAAAAGCUAGACAUCAUAUGCUGCUAGAUUUUCGGGUCUCUGCAAUCAAAUGCAUAAUAUUAUUUUUUUAUUCUUCAGUGUGACAAUAAAAGUGCAGAAACCUUUGCCAACAAUCCUAAAUACCAUCCGAGAACUAAAUAUAUUGAGUUAGAUCUUCAUUUUAUCUGGGAACACAUUACCAAUAAGGAAAAUUGCUAUUGAACAUGUUUCAAGCUUUGAUCAGUUAGUAGAUGUGCUCACUAAACCGCUUGGCUUUGAUUAUUUUACUUAUAUGAGAACUAAGCUCAGUGUCUGUCCAGGACCUUGAGCUCACGGGGGCAUGUUAAGAAUAAAUAGAUUUACGGGUCUCUGCAAUCAAAUAACGUAUGAAAAACCAGAUGGUGUUAGAAAACAAUUCUUCGAAACAAUAAAAAUAUCUAGAAUUUCAAAUGCAUGUCCUAAAUUCUAAUAAACUUCAUUUUCAAUAGAGAUCUAAUAGCAUAGUUUUUCAAGCAUGUUUAAUUUAUGAUUAUGAAUUAAGCGUGUUUAAUUUAUUAGUUUUUCAAAUGAUUAGUUGGCAUUUGCCUGUAAAUGAACUUUAUCCAGUGCACUAAAAAUGAACCAAAUCAAAAUUUUCAUUCAUCUACACAAGUUUAGAAGAAUCUUUUACAAGUUUUUGAAAAAUAAUUUUGAAACUUUUGACAUCAAAUAAAAACACAAAACUAAAUCAAUUUACAGCUUCCAAAAACUAGAGUUCAAAUGCUGCUAUAUUUCAAGGGUCCCUGCAUACAAAAAAAAAAUUAAAUAAAUGAUAAUAGAAAACAAGGCUUGGAAAAAAUAAAUAAUAUUCAAAAUUUCAAAUGCACGUCCUAAAUUCUUGGGUAGGAUAAAAUAAAUUUUAUUUUCAACCAAAAAAAACUUAAUGCAAACGAAACACAAAACUAUAUACUAAUAUAUUAUUUCUAAAGAAAUUUUUUAACAGUAAUAUUAAAACAUAAAAUUAUUCUCAGACUAGCAUACUUGUUCUAUGCAACCUUUAUGUCAACUUUAAUUUAACGAUAAAGUAUCUUUGGAAGAUAAAGAGGAGAAUACAUCUACAAUAAACAAGAACAAAAUUGAUUGCAUGAAUGAUGAGAGAAUACAUCUAGAAUGAACAAGAACAAAAUUGGUUGCAUGAAUAAUAUAAAUCAUCAAAUAGCAUCUAAUAUGAACAACUCGCAAAGUGCAAUAGAAACUAAGCACCUAAAGAUAAUUGUAAAAAAUUCAUCAGCAUAUAGAUUUGUUCUUGUAAGUAAAAUGCAUUCAAAAUCUAAACCUUGUUUAUUUAUCCAUUUGCUUGUAUAUUUAUUGUAGUUUUCAUAAUUCUUAUAAUUUGUCGGCAUGCCCAGACAAUCGGUUCAAGUAGCCAGAGCACGUAAAAUAUCUAGAUUACUAAUUACCAUAGCACUUAAAAUAGUAGUAAUGUCAAUACCAUGGCGGGGGGUAAAAACUCAAAUCAAUAGAAUUUUCAAUACCACAGCAGGGGGGAAAAACUGAAAUCAAUGUAAUUUUCAAUACCACUGCAGGGGGAAAACUCAAAUCAAUAUAAUUUUUAAUUUUCAUUUUUCUAGCAUGAAAUACUGGAAUUAAAUAAAACUGCUAUAGAAAUCAAUAUUACAGUUGUAUUUAGUUUAGGAAACAAACGAAAAAAAAUAACACGGGACUGAGAAGCAAGUUGGCCAAACCAGACUCAUAAUUCCCAUCACCUUUGCAUAACAUGUAAUAGUAAAAUAGUGACACAGAAACCACACAAAAUUCAUGCACUGAAAUCAAAACAUCACAGCAAUUCAAGAAACUUGAAAUUCAUUUGUUGCUCUGAAAGAGGAGAAUACAUUCAGAAUUAACAAGAUGAAAACUUUUCAAGACUACUGAUCCAUGAUUACGUGAACAACAUAUAUCAUGAAAUAGCAUCUAAUAUGAAAAACUUACAAAAUGCAAUAGAAAUUAAGCACCUAAAAAAUUUGUCUACAUUUAGAUUUAUUCUUGUAAGUAAAAUACAUUCAGAAUUCCCACAACAUUUAUUUAUUUAUUUGUUUGUUUAUUUAUUGUAGUUCCCACAAUUCUUAUAAUUUUUCCGAAUUCCCAAACACUAUAUUCGAGUAGACAUAGUACUUAAAAAUAAUUAGAUUACAAAUUGUCGAAGCAUUUCAAAUGAUAGGAAUAACAAUAUCACAACAGAGGGAAAAAAACAACUCAAACCAAUGUCUUUUUUAGCCCCCCUUUUUUUCAUUUUUCUAGCAUGAAACACUAAAAAGAAAUAAAAUUACUGUACAGAUCAACAUUAUACCUACAUUUACUGGCAUUUACUUUAGGAAACAAACGAAAAGACGCAGAAUACAUGUGACCUUUAUUUUAUGAAUUCUUCAGAAGUAAAGAAAUCCAAUGUUAUCUAAUAGGAUUUCAUUACUGAAUUUCACAAGUUUUAUAUGCACACAUACACAUAUAUAUUAUCACAUAAAUUUACUGUCGACCUUCAGAUUUCAGAUGCAAUUUUUUCUUUAAUUUCAACAAACUAGACAUUUGGACCCUAAUUUUUUGUAUUUCUUCCGAUAAAGGCAUAGUUCAUCUAUUUCAUCAAAUAAAAAUAUGACCAAAUUACCUUAAUAAUAUCAGUUAAUAAGUUACCUUUAUUAUUACCUAUAAAAAUUACCUUUAUUCUUACCAGAUUUUUCUUUGAAUGGCGACAGUAAGCUGAAGCUUAGGCUACUCAUCAGUCAUAAGCUUCACUUGGACUUAGAUCCAACCACUAGAGAGGAUGCCCAAAGCAUUGUCUGCAUCAGAUUGUCUGUCAAUUUUCUCCCUUGCCAAUCCAUCUAGAUUGGAACCAUAAUAAUUAAUAAAAAAGGGAUUGAAAACUCUAAUUGAUAAUUCAAAAUAUAUAAAAAAUAAUAAUUAAAGUUAAUUUCUAAACCCUAAUAAGGCAAGUUCAAAAAAAGGGAACUGAAUUUAUAAAUUUUUUAUGCAAAAAGCUUGAGCAUAGAUUUUGAAUACAAUUUCAAAGCUUGUUCAUUAACCUUGAACUGUAAGUGUUCAAAAGAUGCCAACUUUUUUAUUGAUUUAUUUUGGGAGAUUAAUGAAGGUGAAAAGAAGAGGGAUCUAGUGGAUUGUAGUGAGAAAGACAAAAGAUAAGAGCGAGAUUUACAAAAUUUAGGAGCAAAAACUCAUGGCGACCACUUGUUUUUCUUUUUGUUGAGCAUCUAUGAUGGCGGCCGGUGAUAUUUUUGAGUUGAGCGGCUAGGGUUUCUAACAAUGGAAGAAUGAGAGGUAUUUAUAUUUUGUAUAAAAAUUUGGGAAAAUUUUUUAAAAAAUUGUAAAUGUAUACAGGGUAUUUAAAAAAGAAAAAAAUUGUGUUUUAUCUUGGCGGUAGUUUUACCCGCCUAAAUGAAACCUAAUCAC